UACAGGAGGGGGCAAGCGUUGUUCGGAAUUACUGGGCGUAAAGGGCGCGUAGGCGGCCUGCUAAGUCGAACGUGAAAUCCCCGGGCUCAACCCGGGAACUGCGUCCGAUACUGGCAGGCUUGAAUUCGGGAGAGGGAUGCGGAAUUCCAGGUGUAGCGGUGAAAUGCGUAGAUAUCUGGAGGAACACCGGUGGCGAAGGCGGCGUUCUGGACUGUUACUGACACUGAGGAACGAAAGCCAGGGGAGCAAACGGG
rnacentral:rRNA from 1 species